GACGAACGCUGGCGGCGUGCUUAACACAUGCCAGUCGAACGGUGAUGCUCCAGCUUGCUGGAGUGGAUCAGUGGCGAACGGGUGAGUAACACGUGAGCAACCUGCCCCAGACUCUGGAAUAAGCGCUGGAAACGGCGUCUAAUACUGGAUACGAAACUGGCCCGCAUGGGCAUGGUUUGGAAAGUUUUUCGGUUUGGGAUGGGCUCGCGGCCUAUCAGCUUGUUUGUGAGGUAAUGGCUCACCAAGGCGACGACGGGUAGCCGGCCUGAGAGGGCGACCGGCCACACUGGGACUGAGACACGGCCCAGACUCCUACGGGAGGCAGCAGUGGGGAAUAUUGCACAAUGGGCGAAAGCCUGAUGCAGCGACGCCGCGUGAGGGAUGACGGCCUUCGGGUUGUAAACCUCUUUCAGCAGGGAAGAAGCGAAAGUGACGGUACCUGCAGAAGAAGCACCGGCUAACUACGUG
rnacentral:rRNA from 1 species